GCCUCCAUAGCUCAGCGGCAGAGCGUUUGCAUGGUAAGCAAAAGGUCGCGAGUUCAAUUCUCGCUGGGGGCU
rnacentral:tRNA from 1 species